rnacentral:rRNA from 1 species
CGAACGCGGAUUAGCCCAAACCAAUAAAGUUUUCUUUAUUGGGGUUGCGGACAUAUCAUAACGAAGAGGUAUCGUAAUUGAAGAGGUUUGGAAAGACUCACCACAGAAGGUAAUAGUCCUGUAUGUUAAACGAGAAGACUUCAGAUAUGAUCCAGAGUACCACGGGACACGUGAAACCCUGUGGGAAGCAGGAGGGACCACCCUCCAAGGCUAAAUACUACCUAGUGACCGAUAGCGUAUAGUACCGUGAGGGAAAGG